rnacentral:rRNA from 1 species
GGUUCGAUCUGAAAGCUCAGAUUGAACGCUGGCGGGAUGCUUUACACAUGCAAGUCGAACGGCAGCACAGGACUUGGUCUGGUGGCGAGAGUGGCGAACGGGUGAGUAAUGUAUCGGAACGUGCCUAGUAGCGGGGGAUAACUACGCGAAAGCGCCAACUAAUACCGCAUACGCCCUUCGGGGAAAGCGGGGACUUCGGGCCUCGCACUAUUAGAACGGCCGAUAUCGGAUUAGCUAGUUGGUGGGGUAAACGGCUCACCGGCGACUGAUCAGCUGGCUGGUUUGAGAGGACGACGACCAGCCACACUGGGACUGAGACACGGCCCAGACUCCCUACGGGAGAACGCGGUGGGGAAUUUUUGGACAAUGAAGGAAACCUGGUCAGCCAUCCCGCGUGUGCGAUGAAGGCCUUCGGGUUAUCAAAGCACUUUUGGCGGGAAAACGGCACGGGAUAAUACCCCGGCGCAACUGACUGACACCUGCAGAAUAAGCACCGGCUAACUACGUGCCAGCAGCCGCGGUAAUACGUAGGGUGCAAGCGUUAAUCGGAAUUACUGGGCGUAAAGCGUGCGCAGGCGGUUCGGAAAGAAGAUGAAAUCGGAAGCAACUUUGGAACUGCAUUUUUAGCUACCGAGAAGCUGAAGUGGCAAUGUCAGGAGGUGUGGAAUUUCCGCGUGUAGCAGUGAAAUGCGUAGAAUGCGGAGGAACACCGAUGGCGAAGGCAGCCUCCUGGGAUAACACUGACGCUCAUGCACGAAAGCGUGGGGAGCAAACGGGUCGAUACCUAAGUCCACGCCCUAAACGAUGUCAACUAGCUGUUACAGGGCCUUCGGGCCUUGGUAGCGCAGCUAACGCGUGAAGUUGACCGCCUGGGAAUUACGGUCGCAAGAUUAAAACUCGAAAGGAAUUGACGGGGACCCGCACAAGCGGUGGAUGAUGUGGAUUAAUUCGAUGCAACGCGAAAAACCUUACCUACCCUUGACAUGUCUGGAAUCCCGGGGGUUGGGAGUGCUCGCAAGAGAACCGGAACACAGGUGCUGCAUGGCUCUCGUCAGCUCGUGUCGUGAGAUGUUGGGUUAAGUCCCGCAACGAAGCGCAACCGCCAUCGUGGUUACUGAAGGAGCAUCAUGCGGACACCGAUGUUCCGACCGGAGGAAGACGGGGAUAAUCGAUCCUCAUGGCACUAUGGUGGAAGCUGCCAUCUUUAAGACUGGUGGGACAGGUCGCCAACCGCGAGGGGGCAAUCGGAAAACCCGAUCAGUCCGGAUCGCAGUCUGCAACUCGACUGCGUGGAAGUCGAAUCUUCAAUCCGCUGCGGAUCAAACACCAUAUAACGAUGGGCGUUCCCAGGUCUUUGCAUACUUUCGCUCUGUGGAGUGGUUUUACCGAAAGUGACAACCUCGUAUAAGAGAGCAGGUCACCACAGUAGUUAUGACUGGGGUGAAGUCGUAACAAAAGGUAAG